rnacentral:lncRNA from 1 species
AAAGUAAAGAACAAAUUAUUUUUUUAUCUCAAAUAAAGGUCAGUAUAAAAAUAACUACUAAUUCACAAAUAUAUAGAAAAUUUUGAUGUAAAAAAUAUAUAAUUAUAAAUAUAAGAUUAUGAAAAAGUAACAAGCAUGAUGCAUAAAAGUUUAAAAUUUCAAAAGCAACAGAGAGUGCCGAAAGCGACGGACAAGUGGGGGAGAGGGAACAGAAGAUAAGGGACCAGCGGGAGAAAGGGACGAGGGUACGGAGAGAUAUUGAGGAUUAUUUAGAGCUUAGGUUAUAUUAGUUUAGGGUUUUUGGUUUAAUUAAAUGUUUUAACCUGUUAGAUCAAUAAAAAUAUGAAUUCAAAUUCAUUAGAGCAUAUGAAUUUAAAUCCAAAUCCGUUAGUGUAAAUAUUAAGAAAGCGCGCCUUGGCAGCGCUUUGCAUAUAUAUAUAUAGAGAGAGAGAGAGAGAGAGAGUAGGGCUACUAUACUAUUAUGAGUAUAGAACCCUUAGUACUCAUAAGUUAUUUUCAAUGUUAGGAUUUUCGAAUCAACGAUCCACACUGUUAAUUAAACAUAAUCUAGAGUAUUUGAAACUUUUAGAAAAUAAAUUUCGUAAUUUUUCGAAAUUAUUAUAAAGUCCAUCAAGUGGGUAUAAAAUGAACGGUCAAAAUCAAAUGACAUUCUAAAAAUGGAUGAUCGGAUCUUUUAAUUUAAGAUCGGAGUUAUUGAUCUUUAUUUAGGUAGUGAAUAGAAUUUUUUAUAAAAAAGUUUAACCUAUUCCGAUUCUUUUACACCGUUAAACUAGCAAAUAUUCCAUACCGGCCGUUAAAAAUUGUCAAUUUUAUGAGCUUUUGAUCGUAGGGUAAAUGAUACCGAAAAUUAUAAAAUUUAAUUUCUAGAAGUUUUAAGUGCUCUAGAUAAUAUUUAACGGUAUGAAUCGUCGAUUCGAAAGCUCUAUCGUCGAAAACAACUUAUGAGUACGAAGUCGAUCGUACUCAUAAGAGUAUAAUAGCCGGACUCUAUCUAUAUAUAGAGAGAGAGUCCGGCCACUAUACUUUUAUGAAUAUAGAGCCUAUUGUACUCAUAAGUUUUUUACCGUUAAAUCUACCCUUUAAUCAUUUUUACCCGUUAAAUUAUAUUAUUCAACCAACCAUACACUCAACCCUAGGGGGGCCACUAUCAAACAUCUGAACGGUCGAAAACUUAUGAGUACAAAGGGCUCUAUAUUCAUAUGAGUAUAGUAGCCCCAGCCUAUAUAUAGAGUCCGGCUAUUAUAUUUUUAUAAGUAUAGAGCUUAUUGUACUCAUAAGUUUUUGACCGUUAGAUCUACUCUUUAAUCAUUUUCAUCCGUUAGAUUAUAUAUAUAUAUAUAUAUAUAUAUAUAUGAGCUAGGCUACUAUACUAUCUAUAGUACCGAGCUCCGGUACUAUAGUGUUGGUUUUCGAUCAUAGGGCGUUCAAAUCAACGAUCCA